UGCAGGAUGGGGUAGCGGGUAGCCCGGCGGUCUCAUUAAUCGCAGACGCCGGUUCGAGUCCGGCUCCUGCUACCA
rnacentral:tRNA from 1 species